AGGGUUCGAUUCUGGCUCAGGAUGAACGCUAGCGACAGGCUUAACACAUGCAAGUCGAGGGGCAGCAUAAAAGUAGCAAUACUUGGUGGCGACCGGCGCACGGGUGAGUAACGCGUAUGCAACCUACCUAUCAGAGGGGAAUAACCCGGGCGAAAGUCGGACUAAUACCGCAUAAAACAGGGACACCGCAUGGUGAUAUUUGUUAAGAAAUUCGCUGAUAGAUGGGCAUGCGUUCCAUUAGGUAGUUGGUGAGGUAACGGCUCACCAAGCCGACGAUGGAUAGGGGAACUGAGAGGUUGGUCCCCCACACUGGUACUGAGACACGGACCAGACUCCUACGGGAGGCAGCAGUGAGGAAUAUUGGUCAAUGGGCGAGAGCCUGAACCAGCCAAGUCGCGUGAAGGAAAGAAGGAUCUAUGGUUCGUAAACUUCUUUUGCAGGGGAAUAAAGUGCAGGACGUGUCCUGUUUUGUAUGUACCCUGAGAAUAAGGAUCGGCUAACUCCGUGCCAGCAGCUGC
rnacentral:rRNA from 1 species